UAAGUUUGUUCUUGGUAUAAGCUUUUGUGUGCAUGCCUUGUAUCUGAAGAAGUGUGCAUGCACACGAAAGCUUAUACCAAGGACAAACUUA